UUNUGAACUGGGUGACUAGAGUGUNUCAGAGGGAGGUAGAAUUCCACGUGUAGCAGUGAAAUGCGUAGAGAUGUGGAGGAAUACCGAUGGCGAAGGCAGCCUCCUGGGAUAACACUGACGUUCAUGCCCGAAAGCGUGCGUAGCAAACAGGAUUAGAUACCCUGGUAGUCCACGCCCUAAACGAUGUCGAUUAGCUGUUGGGCAGCAUGACUGCUUGGUAGCGAAGCUAACGCGUGAAAUCGACCGCCUGGGGAGUACGGUCGCAAGAUUAAAACUCAAAGGAAUUGACGGGGACCCGCACAAGCGGUGGAUGAUGUGGAUUAAUUCGAUGCAACGCGAAGAACCUUACCUGGUCUUGACAUGUACGGAACCCUUCAGAGACGGAGGGGUGCCUUCGGGAGCCGUAACACAGGUGCUGCAUGGCUGUCGUCAGCUCGUGUCGUGAGAUGUUGGGUUAAGUCCCGCAACGAGCGCAACCCUUGUCAUUAGUUGCCAUCAUUAAGUUGGGCACUCUAAUGAGACUGCCGGUGACAAGCCGGAGGAAGGUGGGGAUGACGUCAAGUCCUCAUGGCCCUUAUGACCAGGGCUUCACACGUCAUACAAUGGUCGGUACAGAGGGUAGCCAAGCCGCGAGGUGGAGCCAAUCUCACAAAACCGAUCGUAGUCCGGAUUGCACUCUGCAACUCGAGUGCAUGAAGUCGGAAUCGCUAGUAAUCGCAGGUCAGCAUACUGCGGUGAAUACGUUCCCGGGUCUUGUACACACCGCCCGUCACACCAUGGGAGUGGGGGAUACCAGAAGUAGGUAGGGUAACCGCAAGGAGCC
rnacentral:rRNA from 1 species